rnacentral:rRNA from 1 species
UACGAAGGGGGCUAGCGUUGCUCGGAAUUACUGGGCGUAAAGCGCACGUAGGCGGCUCUUUAAGUCGGAGGUGAAAUCCUGGAGCUCAACUCCAGAACUGCCUUUGAUACUGAGGAUCUUGAGUUCGGGAGAGGUGAGUGGAACUGCGAGUGUAGAGGUGAAAUUCGUAGAUAUUCGCAAGAACACCAGUGGCGAAGGCGGCUCACUGGCCCGAUACUGACGCUGAGGCACGAAAGCGUGGGGAGCAAACAGG